GACGAACGCUGGCGGCGCGCCUAACACAUGCAAGUCGAGCGGAGAUACUUGAAGGAAGUUUUCGGAUGGAAUUUGAGUAUUUUAGCGGCGGACGGGUGAGUAACGCGUGAGUGACCUGCCUUCCACAGGGGGAUAACGUACCGAAAGGUACACUAAUACCGCAUGAGACCACAGCACUGCCUGGUGCAGGGGUCAAAGGAGCAAUCCGGUGGAAGAUGGACUCGCGUCCGAUUAGAUAGUUGGUGGGGUAACGGCCUACCAAGUCAGCGAUCGGUAGCCGACCUGAGAGGGGGAUCGGCCACAUUGGAACUGAGAGACGGUCCAAACUCCUACGGGAGGCAGCAGUGGGGAAUAUUGGGCAAUGGGGGAAACCCUGACCCAGCGACGCCGCGUGAGGGAAGAAGGUUUUCGGAUUGUAAACCUCUGUUCUUGGUGAAGAGGGAAAGACGGUAGCCAAGGAGGAAGCCCCGGCUAACUACGUGCCAGCCGCCGCGGUAAGAC
rnacentral:rRNA from 1 species